GACGAACCGUGCGAACGUUAUUCGGAAUCACUGGGCUUAAAGCGCGUGUAGGCGGGAGGGCACGUCCGUUGCUGAAUCCCCCGGCUCAACCGGGGAACGGGCGCGGAUACGACCUCCUGGAGGGGGCGUAGGGGGACCUGGAACUUCCGGUGGAGCGGUGAAAUGCAUUGAGAUCGGAAGGAACGCCGUGGCGAAAGCGAGGUCCUGGACGCCUACUGACGCUGAGACGCGAAGCCAGGGAGCGAACGGG
rnacentral:rRNA from 1 species